rnacentral:rRNA from 1 species
GGACCCGCACAAGCGGUGGAGUAUGUGGUUUAAUUCGAUGCAACACGAAGAACCUUACCAGGGUUUGAAAUCAUUUCAAAACUCCUUGAAAGAGGAGCCUCCUUCGGGAUGAAAUGACAGGUGGUGCAUGGCUGUCGUCAGCUCGUGUUGUGAAAUGUCGAGUUAAGUCUCGUAACGAGCGCAACCCAUGUCUCUUGUUGCUCACUGAGUGCUUAAGAGAGACUGCCGACCAACAUCGGAGGAAGGUGUGGAUGAUGUCAAGUCAGCAUGCCCCUUACAUCCUGGGCUACACACGUACUACAAUGGUAGGGACAAUGAGCUGCGAUCCUGCGAAGGCUAGCCAAUCUAUAAACUCGUUCUAAGUUCGGAUUGUAGGCUGCAACUCGCCUACAUGAAGGUGGAAUCGCUAGUAA